rnacentral:piRNA from 1 species
UCAAAGUGUGAGGGCAACAGG